rnacentral:lncRNA from 1 species
GCUGGCAGAGACUUCUCUGAUGAGAAAAUGAUAAGUGUUUUCAAAUGCUGUUCUGGUUAAAAGAAAGCUGAUCCAAGGACUCUACUGCAAAUCAUCUCUUUGGGGUGUUGACUGUCAAGAAAGGUAUUUUUCUGUGCCUUCCUUGCCCUGCCUCUCAGAUGACACCUGUUUCCUGGUGGCAUUUCUUCUAACUUGAGUUAGAUUCACAAUUUCUCAAGCUGCUGGAAGGAUCCUACGAUCAACUUUUCCUGGGGAGACAUGAACAAAUGCCUACUCACUCCAGAUUGGGCACCAUCAAGAAACCAAAUGAAUGACUGUACCCAAGUCUAGCUUAGUGAAGCAAUGCAUUUUUUUGCACUUGUUCCCAGGAAUAUGGAUCUUCGAUGUGAUAAGAAACACCUAAACUCAAAGUAAUUUGAAAGAAUAAACAACUUCAGUUAAAGAAGGUCCCCAAAGAAGUGUAAAGUACAAGUGUAAAACAUGUAGAGUUAGUGAGCACCUUGCAGACACACAGGAUGUACUUCUCCAAGAUGGUGCAAUGGAGCAGAAACAGCUCAUGUCCCUAAUAAGAAGCCACGAGGGACCUCAUUGCUUAUUGAAGAGUCUUGCAGCAUACUUUGUUCGUUGGUCUUUUCUUAAUGGUUGGCUAUUUCUCCUCCAAUUCAAGAACAUUGCAACUAUUAGGUACCAUUCAGAGUCAAUGCGGACCUGAACACACAACUGGCCACGGAGGGAGGCCCUUCAUAAACAGAUCUUGCUGAGUUUAAUCAGAAUCUGCCUCAUGCACAUAGACACAGAUCCUCUUAGAGAUGAAAAGAACAUUAAAAUCUAACAGAACAAAGACCGUGACCACCCCAGACACACAUCCCACAACUCCAAGCUAUGUGUGUCCAGAAGAGAAACAAAACAAAAUUUAUGGCUUUUGCUCUAGUAAUUCCUGGCGC